rnacentral:lncRNA from 1 species
AUCAUAGUAGAUAGUUGUUCUAUUUUAGUAUAAAUAUUGGAUUGUACUCUAUAUUAUGGAUGCUACAAAAAUCAAUAUAAUGAAUCUUUAUCUUUUAUCUUAGUUUAAUUUAUCUUUUAUUCUGGAAGUAGACAUAACUUAACUUUCUACCAUAGCCCAGUACUAUAUUACUACCAUUGGAUAGGGCUACACCCUUACCAU